CCUACGGGCGGCAGCAGUGGGGAAUAUUGGACAAUGGGGGGAACCCUGAUCCAGCCAUGCCGCGUGUGUGAAGAAGGCCCUCGGGUUGUAAAGCACUUUCAGUGAGGAAGAACGCCUGGUGGUUAAUACCCAUCAGGAAAGACAUCACUCACAGAAGAAGCACCGGCUAACUCCGUGCCAGCAGCCGCAGUAAUACGGAGGGUGCGAGCGUUAAUCGGAAUUACUGGGCGUAAAGCGCGCGUAGGUGGCUUGAUAAGCCGGUUGUGAAAGCCCCGGGCUCAACCUGGGAACGGCAUCCGGAACUGUCAAGCUAGAGUGCAGGAGAGGAAGGUAGAAUUCCCGGUGUAGCGGUGAAAUGCGUAGAGAUCGGGAGGAAUACCAGUGGCGAAGGCGGCCUUCUGGACUGACACUGACACUGAGGUGCGAAAGCGUGGGUAGCAAACAGGAUUAGAUACCCCAGUAGUC
rnacentral:rRNA from 1 species